rnacentral:rRNA from 1 species
AACGAACGCUGGCGGCAUGCCUAACACAUGCAAGUCGAACGAGACCUUCGGGUCUAGUGGCGCACGGGUGCGUAACGCGUGGGAACCUGCCUUUAGGUUCGGAAUAACUCAGAGAAAUUUGAGCUAAUACCGGAUAAUGUCUUCGGACCAAAGAUUUAUCGCCUUUAGAUGGGCCCGCGUUGGAUUAGCUAGUUGGUGGGGUAAAGCCUACCAAGGCGACGAUCCAUAGCUGGUCUGAGAGGAUGAUCAGCCACACUGGGACUGAGACACGGCCCAGACUCCUACGGGAGGCAGCAGUGGGGAAUAUUGGACAAUGGGCGAAAGCCUGAUCCAGCAAUGCCGCGUGAGUGAUGAAGGCCUUAGGGUGUAAGCUNUUUUACCCGAGAUGAUAAUGACAGUAUCGGGAGAAUAAGCUUCGGCUAACUCCGUGCCAGCAGCCGCGGUAAAGU